rnacentral:miRNA from 1 species
UGCCCUGCCUGUUUUCUCCUUU